ACCAGGCAACCACCAGGAAGCGACAACUCCUGACGUAAACCCUGCUUCGCCCAGCGAGAAGCUCUGUAUCCCAUUACUAACCCUGGGCUGGAUGUGCCAAAGGCGCGUUGCUGGCGAGGGCGGAUGGAGGCUUCCAGAGACCAGCUCUCAGCAAUGUCGAUGCAGCUGUGAGGCUGGGCUGAGGGAGUGAGGGAGCGUUGGGUGACUCAGGUAGAGGCAGCAAGGUUUCAGACCAGACACUGAUCCCAAAUGAAACGUUCUCCUUUGUCCCAUUCUGACUGGUCCUUUUUUUUUUUUCUUUCUCUUUUUAGGGUGUCACCCAGGAAAUACACUGCUGUGUUCUUUUGAAAUAAAUGAUGCUAACCUCUCAUUUUUGUGUGGUGAUUGACAGUGUUUAAGGCAGAUGUGUUUCCACGGUUGAAAUUUAUCCUUCAACCAGCUGUUUGAGGUAAGUACAGUAUAGUCUUUAUUUGAGAGAUGGGGAAACUGAGGCCCCGAGAGCAAUGUCCUAGGCCAGUGUUGUAUCAGUGAGUAAUUAUUGACUGAGACCAAUCAGGACUUCUUCCCACAUCGUGCUGUGGUGUUCGUCUAUCCUCCUUUCUCAAAGAUCCUGCUCUCCUUGACAAAAUUAGUUAAUUAAUCCAGUCCUUUAUGCAUAUAGAGUGUCUGCUACAUGCCAUGUAUUAGUAAAGCAUCAAAUACAACAUGCAACCACCCUGUCCUCGUGGUACUGAAAUCCGGAGAGGUGAUUAGUACAUGCGUGUGAAAUUUCAGGUGCAGGUAAGAACACUGGCGAAAAGUUCAGCAGGGUCGGAGGUGGGGGAGAGCCCCUGUUUUAUGCAGGGUGAGCCGAGAAAGCCUGCCAAGAAGUCGCCGUGGGAUCAGAGCCCGAGAGAAGUGAGGAAGCCCCUGGGGUGGUUCUGGGGCACAUGCCAGACGACAGCACAGACCACAGUACGUGCCCUUCAGCUCUCCAAGAUGGGCUGAAGCCAGAUGACAGAGCAUGAGACCCGAGGAGGAACAGCCUGGGGGUCGACAGCACGCCAAGCAGAAGUGGACAAUAUCUGGUCCCAGCUCACGCCUUGGCUUAAUCGCAACCACAUGAGCAAACUCAGGGCUGCACAGCACAGUUGCAAUUGGAAUAGAGUGUCCUCUGGGAGACUGUUGGGGAUGAAGCUGUUCACUGCAUGAGACGACGCACUGCUGCAGAUAUAAUCCGUUUACCGACGAUUGUAACGGUGGCUAACGUUUACUGCGUGCCUAUCGUGCCCCCGGCACAGCGUUCGAUACCCUGGGAGGAUUACCUCAUUAGUUCUCAUAACACAUCGCACAGGCAGGUAUGAUUGCUCUCCUCAUCUUGGACACGAAGAUGUGGAAGGCUCAGAGAGAGUCGGUAGGGCGUCCAAGGUCACCGAGCUGGUACGUGAUGGAGCUGUGGCUUGAAACAAAGCAGUUUUACUGUAGAUCCUAGACCUCUCACUUAGGUUUGAUUUCAUUCAUUCACUCACUCAUUUAAUUGUCCAUUCACUCACUCAUUUAAUCAUUCAUUCAUUCACUCACUCACUCAUUUAAUCCAUCAUUCCUCCGUUCACUAAGUAUGCUAAUUCAAGCCACGAUCAUCUCUCACCUAGACAGCAGGUGGUAAUAACUUCCUACGUCUUGCCUCUCUCUAACACAGAGAGUUUCCACCUUGCCUGCAUCUUGGAAUGACCUGGGAAAGUUUUACUACUGCAGGUACCUGGUCCCAGAGCUACUAAUUUAACUCAUCUGAGAUGUGGUCCACUCAUAAGCUCUUUCCAUUGGGAGCCGGAUUCUCUUUUCCUGCCCUUUGAAUCUGAGGUGGGCAUGCAGCCUGCCUUAAUCGAUAGAAUCCUGCAGAAGAAAUGUUGUGCCAGUUCUGAGCCUGAGCCUUGCAGGCUUCUGCUUGCUAUCCUGGAACCCCACCAUCGCCAUGUGAAUGACCCUGGUCUGCCCUCCUGGAGGAUCAUAGCUGAGGCCAUCCCAGACCAACCAACCCGGGCCACAAACUCACGAGGAAGCCUGGCUGAGAUCAGAGCCCGGGCCAGACCCACAGGACCUUUCAGUUGAUCUACAGACUUGUGGGCAAUGAUAAAUGGUGGUUAUUUUAAGCCACUAAGUUUGGGUUGAUUUCUUAUGCAACAGUAGGUAGCUGAUACACUUCAAUAUCAUUUCCUAUUUCUCUUCGAGCCUAAAUCGGGUUCUCCCUUUAUCCACUCUCAUAGCACCUUAUACUUGUCAACUGUAUAAUGGAUGACAAUGCUUAUCAGAACUAAAAAUUGUGUAAAUAAGACUUUUUUCUCUCUCUGAUUAGAGUUUAAGCCCCAUGAGAUCAGAGACCACAUUUGAUUUGCUCCCUGAAAUAUUCCUACCAUCUGGCAUUAUUUUAUACACGGUAUAUGCUACACUUGAUCUUAACCAAGAGGCCGAGAAGCGAUACACACGGUAAAUGCUAAAUAAAUACUUGUCAGAAGACAAACGCAAGGAUGAAUUCAUAUGCUCACUAAACAUGUCCUAAGUACUUUCUCCAUUUUGGGUACCUUGCAAGAUGUUAAAGAUAUCAGAAUGAAUAAGGCAUAGUCUUUGUUCUUAAGGAAAUUCACGGUUUAAAAGCUGGGACAUGAACAUGUAAAUAAAAAUUGUAGGCCACGUUAAUGAGUGUAAUUGAGGGUGUUUAGCCUGUUGAUAAGAUCAGGGUAGAUCAGUGGGUUGAAUAAAUCUGGAGAAAAGAAGUUCCUGGAAAAUGGUUUAUGGAGUAAAUAUUUGAAAUGAUGAUUCUACA